AAAGUUUCCAUACUUUUUUAUUCAUGAUAUCCUUACUAAAGUUUUAACAUCAUACACUAACAGAUAUAUUUUUAAUUGCAAAAUAAAAUGUGUGAUAAUUAUUGGGUCAGUGAGCAGGGUUAAUUAAUAAUAAUAGUGGGCAAAUUGUGUAUCAAAGCCAACUAAUUAAUAAAAGAUUUUUAAGACGGAGCUUUAUAUGGAUAUAUAAUAGUAGUACUAUUAAAAAUAUUUUUACAUCAAAAAGGUAUAAUUAGAUAACAGAACCAUUUUAGCUUGGAUUAGGGUUAAUUAGGGUCAUAAGAGUUGGGAAAAAGGUUAUGAGACUCAGCUGUAAAUAGUAAUAAUU
rnacentral:lncRNA from 1 species